CCAGUGAAGCUUGGUGGUUCGAGUGUCAGACUAAGACUUGGGAGGCCAGGGUUCAAAUCCCUACUCACUGGG